rnacentral:rRNA from 1 species
GCAUAUCAAUAAGCGGAGGAAAAGAAACCAACAGGGAUUGCUCUAGUAACGGCGAGUGAAGCAGCAAUAGCUCAAAUUUGAAAUCUGGCGUCUUCGACGUCCGAGUUGUAAUUUGUAGAGGAUGCUUCUGAGUGGCCACCGACCUAAGUUCCUUGGAACAGGACGUCAUAGAGGGUGAGAAUCCCGUAUGCGGUCGGAAAGGCGCUCUAUACGUAGCUCCUUCGACGAGUCGAGUUGUUUGGGAAUGCAGCUCUAAAUGGGAGGUAAAUUUCUUCUAAAGCUAAAUAUUGGCCAGAGACCGAUAGCGCACAAGUAGAGUGAUCGAAAGAUGAAAAGCACUUUGGAAAGAGAGUUAAAAAGCACGUGAAAUUGUUAAAAGGGAAGGGAUUGCAACCAGACUUGCUCGCGGUGUUCCGCCGGUCUUCUGACCGGUCUACUCGCCGCGUUGCAGGCCAGCAUCGUCUGGUGCCGCUGGAUAAGACUUGAGGAAUGUAGCUCCCUCGGGAGUGUUAUAGCCUCUUGUGAUGCAGCGAGCGCCGGGCGAGGUCCGCGCUUCGGCUAGGAUGCUGGCGUAAUGGUCGUAAUCCGCCCGUCUUGAAACACGGACCAAGGAGUCUAACAUCUAUGCGAGUGUUCGGGUGUCAAACCCCUACGCGUAAUGAAAGUGAACGGAGGUGAGAACCGCAAGGUGCAUCAUCGACCGAUCCUGAUGUCUUCGGAUGGAUUUGAGUAAGAGCAUAGCUGUUGGGACCCGAAAGAUGGUGAACUAUGCCUGAAUAGGGUGAAGCCAGAGGAAACUCUGGUGGAGGCUCGCAGCGGUUCUGACGUGCAAAUCGAUCGUCAAAUUUGGGUAUAGGGGCGAAAGACUAAUCGAAACCAUCUAGUAGCUGGGUUCCUGCCGAAG